UGACGGAGCAAGACCGCGUGGGGGAGGAAGGUUUUUGGAUCGUAAACCCCUUUUGUCAAGGAAGAAGCUCUGACGGUACUUGACGAAUAAGCCUCGGCUAACUCCGUGCCAGCAGCCGCGGUAAUACGGAGGAGGCAAGCGUUAUCCGGAAUGAUUGGGCGUAAAGCGUCUGUAGGUGGCCAGCUAAGUCUGCUGUUAAAGAUCACAGCUCAACUGUGGGAAGGCAGUGGAAACUGGCAAGCUAGAGGUUGGUAGGGGUAAAGGGAAUUCCCGGUGUAGCGGUGAAAUGCGUAGAUAUCGGGAAGAACACCGGUGGCGAAAGCGCUUUACUGGGCCAGACCUGACACUGAAGGACGAAAGCUAGGGGAGCGAAAGGGAUUAGAUACCCCUGUAGUCCUAGCUGUAAACGAUGGAGACUAGGUGUAGCACGUAUCGACCCGUGCUGUAUCGUAGCCAACGCGUUAAGUCUCCCGCCG
rnacentral:rRNA from 1 species